GUGCAGCAGGCGCGAAACCUUCGCAAUGCGCGAAAGCGUGACGAGGUCACCCCGAGUGCCAUCCGCUGAGGGUGGCUUUUCCUCAGUGUAAGGGGCUGAGGGAAUAAGGGGAGGGCAAGUCUGGUGUCAGCCGCCGCGGUAAUACCAGCUCCCCGAGUGGUGAGGACGAUUAUUUGGCCUAAAGCGUCCGUAGCCGGUCUAACAAGUCUCUCGUUAAAUCUGACGACAUAAUCGCCAGGUCGCGGGAGAUACUGUUAGACUAGAGGGCGAGAGAGGUCGACGGUAGUCUCGGGGUAGGGGUGAAAUCCUAUAAUCCCGAGAGGACCACCAGUGGCAAAGGCGGUCGACUAGAGCGCGCCUGACGGUGAGGGACGAAAGCUGGGGGAGCGAACCGGAUUAGAUACCCGGGUAGUCC
rnacentral:rRNA from 1 species